rnacentral:rRNA from 1 species
UUUUAGAGUUUGAUCCAUGGCUCAGAGCGAACGCUGGCGGAAUGCUUAACACAUGCAAGUCGUACGGGCAGCUUCGGCUGUCAGUGGCGGACGGGUGAGUAACGCGUAGGAACGUGUCCAUUGGUGGGGGAUAACGCUGGGAAACUGGCGCUAAUACCGCAUAUGGCCUGAGGGUCAAAGCCGUGAGGCGCCGAUGGAGCGGCCUGCGUCCGAUUAGGUAGUUGGUGGGGUAAAGGCCUACCAAGCCUACGAUCGGUAGCUGGUCUGAGAGGAUGAUCAGCCACACUGGGACUGAGACACGGCCCAGACUCCUACGGGAGGCAGCAGUGGGGAAUAUUGGACAAUGGGCGCAAGCCUGAUCCAGCAAUUCCGCGUGGGUGAAGAAGGUCUUCGGAUUGUAAAGCCCUUUCGGCAGGGAAGAUGAUGACGGUACCUGCAGAAGAC